rnacentral:rRNA from 1 species
GAUGAACGCUGGCGGCGUGCCUAAUACAUGCAAGUCGAGCGAACGGACGAGAAGCUUGCUCCUCUGAUGUUAGCGGCGGACGGGUGAGUAACACGUGGAUAACCUACCUAUAAGACUGGGAUAACUUCGGGAAACCGGAGCUAAUACCGGAUGAUAUUUUGAACCGCAUGGUUCAAAAGUGAAAGACGGUCUUGCUGUCGCUUAUAGAUGGAUCCGCGCUGCAUUAGCUAGUUGGUAAGGUAACGGCUUACCAAGGCAACGAUGCAUAGCCGACCUGAGAGGGUGAUCGGCCACACUGGAACUGAGACACGGUCCAGACUCCUACGGGAGGCAGCAGUAGGGAAUCUUCCGCAAUGGGCGAAAGCCUGACGGAGCAACGCCGCGUGAGUGAUGAAGGUCUUCGGAUCGUAAAACUCUGUUAUUAGGGAAGAACAUAUGUGUAAGUAACUGUGCACAUCUUGACGGUACCUAAUCAGAAAGCCACGGCUAACUACGUG